rnacentral:rRNA from 1 species
AGAUUAGCCAUGCAUGUCUAAGUACAAGCCUCACUAAGGUGAAACCGCGAAUGGCUCAUUAAAUCACACCUAAUCUACUGGAUAGUUAACAGUUACUUGGAUAACUGCGGUAAUUCUGGAGCUAAUACAUGCACAAAGCCCCGAACUUACGUGAGGGGCGCUUUUAUUAGAUCAAAACCAAACGGCUUCGGCUGUUCUCUUGGUGACUCUGAAUAACUUUGGGCUGAUCGCAUAGCCUAGCGCUGGCGACAUAUCCUUCGAAGGUGUGCCCUAUCAACUGUCGACUGUGGCAUAGACGCCCACNGUGGUUUUGACGGGUAACGGGGAAUCAGGGUUCGAUUCCGGAGAGGGAGCCUUAAAAACGGCUACCACAUCUNAGGAAGGCAGCAGGCACGCAAAUUACCCAAUGACCGAAGGUCGAGGUAGUGACGAAAACUAACGAUACGGGACUCAUCUGAGGCCCCGUAAUCGGAAUGAGUACACUUUAAAACCGUCCCCGAGGAUCUNUUGGAGGGCAAGUCUGGUGCCAGCAGCCGCGGUAAUUCCAGCUCCAAUAGCGUAUAUNAAAGUUGUUGUGGUUAAAAAGCUCGUAGUUGGAUCUCGGCGGUCUGAGGGCGGUUCGCUUGCUUAAGCGCUACUGCCCUAUAGGCCGUAGUUUUGCCAGAGGCCUCGGGGUGCUCUUAACCGAGUGUCCUGCGGCGCUGGCGGGUUUACUUUGAAAAAAUUAGAGUGCUCAAAGCAGGCUUUUACGCCUGAAUAUUCGUGCAUGGAAUAAUAGAAUAGGAAGUCGUUUCUAUUUUGUUGGUUUUCGGAAAUCGACUUAAUGAUUAAUAGGGACAGUCGGGGGCAUUUGUAUUCAAACGACAGAGGUGAAAUUCUUGGACCGUUUGAAGACAACUACUGCGAAAGCAUUUGCCAAGAAUGUUUUCAUUAUCAGAACGAAAGUAGAGGUUCGAAGGC